rnacentral:rRNA from 1 species
AAAUUGAAGAGUUUGAUCAUGGCUCAGAUUGAACGCUGGCGGCAGGCCUAACACAUGCAAGUCGAACGGUAACAGGAAGCAGCUUGCUGCUUUGCUGACGAGUGGCGGACGGGUGAGUAAUGUCUGGGAAACUGCCUGAUGGAGGGGGAUAACUACUGGAAACGGUGGCUAAUACCGCAUAACGUCGCAAGACCAAAGAGGGGGACCUUCGGGCCUCUUGCCAUCAGAUGUGCCCAGAUGGGAUUAGCUUGUUGGUGGGGUAACGGCUCACC